UACAGAGGGUGCGAGCGUUAAUCGGAAUUACUGGGCGUAAAGCGUGCGUAGACGGUAGCGUAAGUCGGGUGUGAAAGCCCCGGGCUCAACCCGGGAGGGUCGUGGCAAACCGGCGGCUUGAGGCCGGUAGAGGUGGGUGGAACUCCUGGUGGAGUGGUGAAAUGCGUAGAUAUCAAGAGGAACACCAGUGGCGAAGGCGAGUCCCUGGACAACUUCUGACGCUGAGGCACGAAAGCUAGGGGAGCAAACAGG
rnacentral:rRNA from 1 species